rnacentral:rRNA from 1 species
UUCGCCCUUAGAGUUUGAUCCUGGCUCAGGACGAACGCUGGCGGCGCGCCUAACACAUGCAAGUCGAACGAGCGAGAGAGAGCUUGCUUUCUCGAGCGAGUGGCGAACGGGUGAGUACGCGUGAGGAACCUGCCUCAAAGAGGGGGACAACAGUUGGAAACGACUGCUAAUACCGCAUAAGCCCACGGGUCGGCAUCGACCAGAGGGAAAAGGAGCAAUCCGCUUUGAGAUGGCCUCGCGUCCGAUUAGCUAGUUGGUGAGGUAAUGGCCCACCAAGGCGACGAUCGGUAGCCGGACUGAGAGGUUGAACGGCCACAUUGGGACUGAGACACGGCCCAGACUCCUACGGGAGGCAGCAGUGGGGAAUAUUGCACAAUGGGGGAAACCCUGAUGCAGCGACGCCGCGUGGAGGAAGAAGGUCUUCGGAUUGUAAACUCCUGUUGUUGAGGAAGAUAAUGACGGUACUCAACAAGGAAGUGACGGCUAACUACGUGCCAGCAGCCGCGGUAAAACGUAGGUCACAAGCGUUGUCCGGAAUUACUGGGUGUAAAGGGAGCGCAGGCGGGAAGACAAGUUGGAAGUGAAAUCUAUGGGCUCAACCCAUAAACUGCUUUCAAAACUGUUUUUCUUGAGUAGUGCAGAGGUAGGCGGAAUUCCCGGUGUAGCGGUGGAAUGCGUAGAUAUCGGGAGGAACACCAGUGGCGAAGGCGGCCUACUGGGCACCAACUGACGCUGAGGCUCGAAAGUGUGGGUAGCAAACAGGAUUAGAUACCCUGGUAGUCCACACCGUAAACGAUGAUUACUAGGUGUUGGAGGAUUGACCCCUUCAGUGCCGCAGUUAACACAAUAAGUAAUCCACCUGGGGAGUACGACCGCAAGGUUGAAACUCAAAGGAAUUGACGGGGGCCCGCACAAGCAGUGGAGUAUGUGGUUUAAUUCGACGCAACGCGAAGAACCUUACCAAGUCUUGACAUCCCUUGACGAACAUAGAAAUAUGUUUUCUCUUCGGAGCAAGGAGACAGGUGGUGCAUGGUUGUCGUCAGCUCGUGUCGUGAGAUGUUGGGUUAAGUCCCGCAACGAGCGCAACCCUUACUGUCAGUUACUACGCAUGAGGACUCUGGCAGGACUGCCGUUGACAAAACGGAGGAAGGUGGGGAUGACGUCAAAUCAUCAUGCCCUUUAUGACUUGGGCUACACACGUACUACAAUGGCGUUAAACAAAGAGAAGCAAGACCGCGAGGUGGAGCAAAACUCAGAAACAACGUCCCAGUUCGGACUGCAGGCUGCAACUCGCCUGCACGAAGUCGGAAUUGCUAGUAAUCGUGGAUCAGCAUGCCACGGUGAAUACGUUCCCGGGCCUUGUACACACCGCCCGUCA